UAAGGAAUAUUGGUCAAUGGACGCAAGUCUGAACCAGCCAUGCCGCGUGAAGGAAGACGGCCCUACGGGUUGUAAACUUCUUUUGUACGGGAAAAAACCACCGGUCGUGAACCGGUGCUGAUGGUACCGUAAGAAUAAGCAUCGGCUAACUCCGUGCCAGCAGCCGCGGUAAUACGGAGGAUGCAAGCGUUAUCCGGAUUCAUUGGGUUUAAAGGGUGCGCAGGCGGAAUGAUAAGUCAGUGGUGAAAUCCUACAGCUCAACUGUAGAACUGCCAUUGAUACUGUCGUUCUUGAGUACACUUGGAGUGGGCGGAAUGUGUCAUGUAGCGGUGAAAUGCUUAGAUAUGACACAGAACACCGAUCGCGAAGGCAGCUCACUAAAUUGUAACUGACGCUCAGGCACGAAAGCGUGGGGAUCAAACAGG
rnacentral:rRNA from 1 species